CCAGCAGCCGCGGUAAUUCCAGCUCCAAUAGCGUAUAUUAAAGUUGUUGCGGUUAAAAAGCUCGUAGUUGGAUCUCGGCGGCCAGGGGGUGGUUCGCUCUACGGCGUUACUGCCCCAUUUGGCCGUGUGAUUGGCGGAGGUUUCGGGGUGCUCUUCGCUGAGUGACCCGGGGCGCCGUCAGGUUUACUUUGAAAAAAUUAGAGUGCUCAAAGCAGGCUAUUCCGCCUGAAUAUUCGUGCAUGGAAUAAUAGAAUAGGAUGUCGAUCCUAUUUUGUUGGUUUUCGGGACUCGACAUAAUGAUUAAUAGGGACAAUUGGGGGCAUUUGUAUUCAAACGACAGAGGUGAAAUUCUUGGACCGUUUGAAGACAAACUACUGCGAAAGCAUUUGCCAAGAAUGUUUUCAUUAAUCAAGAACGAAAGU
rnacentral:rRNA from 1 species